rnacentral:rRNA from 1 species
GAUGAACGCUAGCUACAGGCUUAACACAUGCAAGUCGCGGGGCAGCAUGGGGGUUGCUUGCAAUCCCCGAUGGCGACCGGCGCACGGGUGAGUAACGCGUAUCCAACCUGCCCUUCACCACGGGAUAACCCGGCGAAAGUCGGACUAAUACCGUAUGUUGUCCAUUGACGGCAUCCGAUUUGGACGAAAGGCUUGGCGGUGAGGGAUGGGGAUGCGUCCGAUUAGCCAGACGGCGGGGUAACGGCCCACCGUGGCUACGAUCGGUAGGGGUUCUGAGAGGAAGGUCCCCCACACUGGAACUGAGACACGGUCCAGACUCCUACGGGAGGCAGCAGUGAGGAAUAUUAGUCAAUGGGCGUAAGCCUGAACCAGCCAAGUAGCGUGCAGGAUGACGGCCCUAUGGGUUGUAAACUGCUUUUAUGCGGGGAUAAAGUGGCCCACGUGUGGGCUUUUGCAGGUACCGCAUGAAUAAGGACCGGCUAAUUCCGU